CCUCCCCUUCCUGCGGCGGGGUCAUAACAGCUUGUUUAUAUACUCCUGAGCCGGUUUGCUGCAACAGAUUGUGACUUUAAAUAGAAGGUUGCUAAGAGUGAGGUCACCACGGUGCCAAACUCGAACCCGAAUUCCUUGUGAAUGAAAAAUAAAAACGCUCUAGAGCCAGGCUGUCUGCGUGCUGCUUCGCUUCGGGUUGUUGGGGUGCGCUGACCACAGCAGCAUCCUCCAGGUAAGUACAGCUUUUAGCUGCUUGGGCUGCAGGUAACCCCCCCUGUGCACCCAAAAGCCGCUGCGUGGCAGACGGCAAUUUUCUUUGCUUGCAAAAAGGACGAGGUCAGAGCGUCCUGUCGCCGGAACUGGUAUAAACCAAGAGUAAUUGGACUGGAAUUGGUGGUUACAGUGAUGUAAGAAGUGGUGUAAGGCAGAGGUGAAGCCAUAUCCUAAUAACGCCUUCUGCCUGCUCGCUGAAUUCUGCAGAGAGAUCAGCACUUCCAGCAACAAAAGAAAGUAGGUCAGUGCCAGGUCCCCCUCCCCGCCUGCGCGCUGGAAGCACAUGUGUUGGAUUACACGCCUGCAGAUUGAAGCAGGAGCUCCUGGGAUGGGGUUUUCUUCCCCUUUGGGAUGGUGCACGUAAAAGCAAUUUGGUGCUUUACGGUGUGCUGGUGCGGUUGCUCUCGCCGUGCGGUUUCUCUUGGAGCUGCUGCAUCCCCGACGCCUGGGGAGCUGGGGGACCUGUUUGCAUGUCGAUAUUGCAGGGGUGGAGCUGCCCUGGUUCCCCGUAGCCCGUCUGUGGUUCAGGGAAGGUGUGAAGCACCAGGACGUGCUCCCAGCUCCUGCCCAUCCCUGAUACCCUGAUCCCGAGCCCGCCCUUGCCUUGCUGCAGCCAUGAAACUCCAGUUCGACUUGAACGAUUACCCGACACGUUAAUUGGGACUCCUGCUAUGAUUAAAAAGAAAUUUCAGAUUAAACCCGCCACGCUGUAUGGCUCAGGAAGAAAACAUCUCUUUAUAAACCCAGCAGGAAUGUGGGGACUCCAUUAUUAUUAUUUUCUUUUAACUUUGAAGAAACUGGCUCUCGCUGCUGUUUUGACCACAAGGAGACAAGUGCGGCAGUCACUCUGCUAUGGUCAAAGCCGAGCGGAAGGGAGAUAAAAUUGCAGGGUGUUUUUCCUUCUUUUUUUUUUUUUCUCUUUAAUGUGAUAAUCAUAAUGGAUUUAUCUCUGUAGACUUCAGGUCCUGUCUAUGUGGGUCUCCACAGGCUCCUCCACCACUCUUGGGCAAGAGCUCAGAGGAACUUGUAGGUUGUACAAACCAGGUGGGUGGGCAAGCACGGUCCCAGCUCCGAGGAGAAGAAUACGGUGUUUGACACACUUAAUUAUAUCCACAACAUUCUCAGUGCUGUAGUUGGGCAGCUUUGAGAGUGUCUUCAGCUUGCCGUGUCCCCGGGGGAAGGUCCCCAGGUGAGCAUCGUUGGUUGUUGGUGCUGUUUCCUUAAUUGGAAGGACGUUGAUGGCCACGUGAAGUGUUUUGAGACUAACGGCGACCUCUUAAACUCACGUAUUUGCUCUGUUUACUGUGGAGUUGGAAGGCUGUCAUGGAGUUUGCAGCCAAAACUCAGCCCUCCUCCACCAAACGCUGCCCGCUGAGGGAGGCUAUGACAUCGGAGGGGGGCUUUUCCUCAAACGAAGCUUCCUGCCUGCAGCCUUUUAGGUCGGACCUGCUGCAAAUCCCCCCUGCGCUGGGGGGCCACGGGGAGCAUCUCCCUGCCCAUCACCCAGCAGGAGCCCAGCUCCAGCCCUUCCACCACACCAGGAGAUAACCGUGGACGUUCAAUAGCCGGAGCAGAAAGCGCUGCAGGGCUGCGGCAGCUUGGCCCUGCCUUUGCUCCAUGCUGGACUCGCCGAGUCGAUAGGCAAGGGCAGCGCUAGAUUAUCCCCCGCUCCCUCCCCUCCUUUUUUUUUUUUAUUCCCCUUUAAACUUUUCUCGUGUUCCAGCUGAAGCAGCAUGAGGUGAGUAAACUCCACUGCUCAAAAUAAGAGUGGAUAAGCUCAGUUUACUUGCAUUUAUUCAUGACUUCACCACUCCACUGGGGCCUGAAAAUCAGAGCCAAAAGGAACUGCAGUGAAAAUUGGCCUACAUGUGAUGGCUUUAAAUAAUCUGCCCUUUUGCUCUAGUUCUGUGUUGAGAUGUGCUGGAAGCCUGAGGAGCUGGGAUCUGUCUUGAUGUAGAAGCUGCUUUUUGUUUUCUUGCCCUGACGUUUGAAGCUGCUGUUGCUUUUGCUCUAUUUGGUGGUAACUUGGGGGAACGUCUGCGGCGAGGGGGGAGAAAAUAUCUAUUCGAGAAUCACUUUAUUUAGUGCGUGACUUGAAACGAACAGAAUCGGCACAACGAAUUAGCUUUUAUUCCCAAAGAUGUGAAAAUUAAGGAAGAGAGAAAAUAGAAAUAAAUUGAUGAGCGCGUGUCGCAGAUAUCGACACCCAGGGACAGGGUAUUAUUUUGGGCUAAAAACCAGUUCUGCUGGAAGAAUGGUUCACGUUAAUAGUGAAUUCUUGUUAGCGCUUGCAUUUGGGCAGCCUGUUAAGGCACAUACGGUUCCCAGCUGACGCGCAGUACAUGCAUGUGCCUGACACUUGCACCAGUCGAGGAAGAAGUCACGCAAACCAUCGGAGAGCCGAGCGUGCUGGGUGAGGCUCGGCUACAGCAUCCGAGCAGAAAUAGAACUGGAGCCAUCCGCAAACCAGGUCAGCGCUGCUCUUGCGCUUUUUCUCUUGGGCCCCUUUGAAUCACAUCAUGAUUUCUUUCCCCCCUCUGCCCCAGCUCCCUGCAGCUGGGAUUGCUUUUCACAUACUCUGCUCACAUAAUUGCCUCUAAUGAUUUCUCAGCUGGUUUUCCUUCGUUCUUAACUCAAAUAUGACUGCCUUUUCUCCCUUUUUCCCCCUUUACAAGGCUACACGCACCCGCUCCAGCAUUCACAGAUGCUCCCCUUCUGCUGCUCUCCCAUAUGCUUGCCUUGUCUCUCAUUAUUUUCAUCUGGAGAGUCCCCAUCUCCCUUCACGGAGCUGCACCCAGGUGAUGCCAGAGCCUCCUUAGCCUUGUGCUGCGCAGCUCACGCCUCCAGAUGUCCUUGGCUGGUCCCAGCGCUGCUUCCCACCCACGGUGCCUGGGCACGGCGGAGAAGGGGCUCCUCCAAGCACCCAGGAUGAUGGAGCGUCAGAAAAGAUGCCGUAAGGCAGGGCUGCUCCGUGUCUCCAACUAUGUCUUUGCUAUCCGGAUGCUCGCACUAUAAUUUCAGGGCAGUGCUGCGCUGGCAGUGGUGCUCAGCGCAAGCAGAGAGGGGGAGGUUUGGAGGUUCCCCCUAUUUGCUGCGUGGAAAACCCUUCCAGGCUCCCAGCGAACUCGGUGGUUGGGGUCCUGCCGUGCCAGCUGAAGCACCAGCGAGUCACGGCAGGCUGUUAGCAUCCCGCGGUAUAUUUAGUUCAGGUUUUAACAAGGGCUCCGUAUGUGUGGGUUCUCUUGUUUCCUUUUGCUUUCUACGUGCUAAGUAGAUGCAGGAAGGAGUCGAGAACUCUUCCCGUGAUGGCAAGGAUGCGGUUUUGUGGCUCUGUAUGCUGUUUUCCGUUGCGGGGUUGGAGAAGGCAAGGCUCUGGGGAGACUUAGAGCAGCUUCCCGGACUGAAAGGGGCUCCAGGAAAGCUGGAGAGGGGCUCUGGAUCAGGGAGGGCAGGGAGAGGAUGGGUUUUCAGCUGCAAGAGGGGAUAUUGAGGUGAGAUCUUAGGCAGAAAUGUUUUGCUGUGAGGGUGGGGAGGCCCUGGCCCAGGGUGCCCAGAGCAGUGGUGGCUGCCCCAUCCCUGGAGGUGUUCCAGGCCAGGUUGGAUGGUUCUUGGAGCCCCUGAUCCAGCGGGAGGUGUCCCUGCCCAUGGCAGGGGUGGCACUGGAUGGGCUUUAAGGUCCCUUCCAACCCAAACCGUCCUUUGAUUCUAUGAAAAGCAUUGGCAUAAGAGCUGGAGAGCCGUGAGUGUCUCAGGGUCCCCUUCCAUCAUGAAUCCCUGACAACACGGUAAGGUCUUUCCAGCAGCAGGGAUUUUCCUCAGGGACACAGGACAGUGAAACGGUGCCUGCAGACAGCUGGCUCUGCGCUGCUGGGUCUUGUAUGUUUGGUCCUCAUCAGGAUCCACGCCAAAAGGGUCACUCUGCUUUUCCUUUCGAAUUAGUAUGGGUUUAAUUUUUCUAUUCCAGAAUGAACUUUAAUGCCCGAGUUUAAAAUAAUACAGGUGCUCUGCGUGCUCCCAGAAGGGUUAAACGGGGCUUAUCCUGAGGACAUGAGGGCAGCCCACCUUGAAGCGCUUCUUUAGAGAAGACCUGCGAGAAGCCAAAGACCUUUUGAUGACUGGGUAUUUAGCUGUAGAAAGAUUGACUGAGGGAAUAACUCUGAAAUCCUUUUCCAGGGAGAGCAAUUUCUAUGCGCUAUUGAGAAAUCAGGUCUGCGAGAAGUUUCACUAGGUCUGUAGGAAAAAGGAAAAAAAAAGAACCAAGUCACGCUGGUAGGCUUGAAGUGGAGGUGUUAAAUCUCAGCUGCGAGGUGGGGAAGGUGCAGCGCAAAGUCCUGCGCUGAGGAUGCUGCGAUACCUGCCCGCAGGAACCGGGGAGGGGAGGAAGGAAAACGGGUGCAGCUCAAAUUGAAGCAGACAAAAUCUCUCUCUGGGGAUGGCAACUCUUGCUGGGAGCGGGAUCUGCUUCUCUGGGAAAUAAAGUGCAUGGACGUGGGGAAGGAAUGGAAAUCUUUGUGGGCGAGUCAGCAAAUAGCCAAGAGUUUUGUUAUUCCCUAACAGCCUCAGAAACCCGCAGUCUGUCAUAGGAGCAAUUUUGUGUUUUAAUAGAAGUGUUUUGCUUUUGACCCCGUGUGGCACAACAGCCUCUGCAAAGCAGGAGGCAGCAGGUGCCUCCGUAAGCAUCAGCUGGAAGUACGAAACAGCCCCCAUCUCCCAGAGUUUCCCGGUACUGGCGAUGCCUUUCGCUCCCGAGCAAGAUCGAGGGUUGGGUUGCAAACCGCUGACUUCUGCUUGGACCCAGGUCGCUUUCCCCGGGCGAUGACUUGAGUCUUUUCAUCCGAAUGAGAUGUGUAACUUUAAACCCGUGAUCAGCAUCGCCCUUUAGCUGGAAAACACGGAAUUCAAAGCAUCUGGCGGGUACUGCAGUGUUUUGUUAGGCGAGCGCAAACAAACGGAGAGGAGAAAUGGAAAAGAGAAAGGAAAUUUUGAGUCGGUUUAGGAAGUCUUUGACGAAGCGGAUGGCAAACACCACCUGCCUGACCCUCUGUCUGCGGCGCAAGGGCUUGGGGAGGCGCGGGGAGCUGCCCGCGAAUCAAAUGCAUCAAGACGAUCACAUUUGUUUAUCGCUUGGGUUUGUGCCACUGUGGAGCUCUUUUGUUUCAUUUCUUCUAGCUGCGGUCCAACCCCCCCAAAAAAAAAAAGAGAUUUGUUGGAACAUAACUGUACCGUUCCCUUUGGUUCUUCUUUAAAUUCUCUUUAUUUCCAGAAGACAGCGAGCCGGGGUGGAGCUGGUGGUGGUAAUGUUCUGAAGCGGGAGGGAAAUAGCCUGGAGAUGUGCAGCGAGAGCAGGGGCACGCGCCCUGAAUAGGAGGGUUAACCAGGGCUUAUUCUGAGGGAAGCAGUAAUUGCAGCUUGUGUGAAGCAGUAAUAUUCUUUUGUGCAUUAUUUACCCGGGAACAUCUGCUAAUACAUAUACAUUCUCCGGUGCGUGUAAACAACUUGUGCGGGGAAGAGGAUUAGGAGAUGUAUAAAAAAAAUUAGAAGCGAGUUAAAAGGGCAAUUAGAAGAGCAGAAAGAGAUAUUGAGCAGUGAAUUAGGGAGGAUAUUUUAACACACAAUCAGAGCUUCCCGAGAUGUAUUCAGAGCAGAGAGAAGGUAAAAGAGAAAAUUGGCCAAUUACGAAAUGAUAGCGGGGAAUUGGUGACAUGGGAGAAGGUAAUGGCUGAUUUGUUAAACAGUUAUUUUGAUUCUGUUUUCACAAAGGAGGAAGAGGGUGGAGGGCAGCUCCGGAAAGGACUCGGGCUGGGCGGCCGAGGGUGAGGAUGAGCUUGCAGAGAGAGAAAGAUGUGCCUGCAGAGCGGUUGGGCGUAGGGAGAAUUUCACUCAUAGUCAAGGGGUGGGGGGAAAAAAAUGGAUUUUAGUGAGCAGUUCCUUGCGGCAACAAUCCCGGUAGCGAGGUCUUGCGUUAUAACACUUGCUUUUGUUCGCCUAAUUGGCUGCUUUUGAGUAGGGGCCAAGGACUGAGGUGGUCACGGAGAUGAAAGAUCCCUUCUCCUCUUUGAAGGCAAUUUCUCCGAGAGAGAGAGAGAGAGAAGAGGCUGGAGUGUAUUGGGAGACAGCGAGAUGGAUGGGGACUCUGGAGGGAUGCUGCUCCUGGGGCUGCUUUUAUGCGGGUAGAGAGGUGGUUUGGCUCGCCGGUGUGGCACCGUCCUGAGAACACACCGUGCAAAACGUCAGCACCGCUGCAGUCCUCUCCGUCCCGGUUUCAUAGUUGCUUUUUCCUUCCACCCGUAACCCACAAACUCCAACGCGGUCAGCGAUACAAGAGCAUCCCUGUAAUCCCUGUUCCCAUCAGCAUCGUCUGGCGUUGGCAGUCUCGUGUUUCACCCAAGCAUUUGUGAGCUCGAGGCUGCUGGAUGUGAUAAGGGAGAGGAGAGGGCUGGUGGAACAGAGGGAUGGUGUCAGCAUACAAGGCCUCAAGGAGAUAGAAAGCGAUGGAAAGGGAAACGUUCAUGGUCAUGCAGUGGGAUCUGGAGAAGCGUUCCCGGGCUGUGCGGUUGAAAUCAAGGCAGGGAGAGCAUCUGCAGAUGGAGGAUUUAGGGAAGGCUGAGCUUGAAGCAUCAUAAAAAGUGUUAUUUGGUUUAUGAGAAAUGUGAAGUGAUGCUUUUGUUGGGCUCGGUCCCUCUGAAGGGGGGGAGAAUGCGCUGCGGAACGAACUUCUGGGACAAAGGAAGUCAUUUGGAAAUGGUGCUGGGGGGCCACAAGUGUCACCCGGGAAGCGAUAGGGAAUACGGGAGGAAGUGCAGACUUGUGGUCUUGGUUUAGACUGAUAAACUAAAAAUUUAUUCUCAAUAUCCGAGAGGCAUUUGGUUUUCAUCCUGCUUGGGAGGAUAAAAGAGAUGCAGCGUCGUCUGGUUUGUGUUUUCAAAGCAUGUAUGAAAAGCACCGUAUUAGCAAUUACGGGAUGAAACUGUGGAAAAGUGGUACAAUGGAGAGAAAAUUGGCUCCGACUCAGGAAACGGGAUUCUGCCGCCGGGGGUGAAUUUCCAGAGGCGCAGUCUGGGGUCUCUUCUGGGUUCUCCGGCAUUUAUUUUUUUAAUUGAAAGGAUUUGCAUGAGCAGCCCAAAGUUAGAGCAUUAAAGCUCACUGAUGUAAAGAAAGAGAAGGCAGCUGCUGCAACAGGGACUUGUCUCAUCUGCCAGCGCCGUGCAUGGUGCGGGCGGCAGACCGGAGAACGCUAAAGGAACGGGAAACCGGUGAGCAAAUAAAUGCUCAAGUGACAUGUUUCCCAAGGGAGGCGUUCGGAGCUCGCAGCCGAGCUGCGGGGAGCUAUCGGCGGUGUCUAACCACGUCGGCAAUGGGCAGUCUGUCUGCCCGGCCCCCGGCGAGGGGAAUCGAUGCCCUUCCAAAGGCUGAGCUCGUGCAGUGAACUGCACCCCUUCAAGGCUGAUUCCUACUCCCUGGGAAGGCAAACGGUGGCGUGGCCAGGGGAGCCCAGGCAGAGCUGGGGAGCACGGAGGGGUUUAGGUUUAUAGAAUCACAGAAUCGUUUAGGUUGGAAAAGACUUUUAAGAUCAUUAAAUACAACCGUAAACCUAACGCAGCCAAGUUCACCCCUAAACCAUGUCCCUAAGCACCAUAUCUACACCUCUUUUAAACCCCUCCAGGGAUGGUGAGGCAGCCACUCGCCUGGGCAGCCUCUGCCAGUGCUUGAGAACCCUUUGGUGAAGAUGUUUUUCCUAAUAUCCAAUCUAAACCUGCCCUGGUACAACUUGAGACCAUUUUCUCUUGUCCUAUCACUUGUUUACCUGGGACCAGCACCCACUUUGCUACAACAUCCUUUCAGGCAGUUGCAGAGAGCGAUGAGCUCCCCCCUCAGUCUCCUUUUCUCCAGGCUGAACGACUCCAGCUGCUCCUCCUAACCCCUGUUCUCCAGCCCCUUCCCCAGCUCCGUUCCCUUCUCCGCACGCUCUACAGCCUCUCAAGGUCCUUCUUGUAGUGAGGAGCCCAAACUGAACCCAGGAUUCGAGGUGCAGCCUCACCAGCGCCGAGUCCGGGGGGACGAUUGCUGCCCUGCUCCUGCUGGCCACACCAUGGCUGAUCCGAGCCAGGAUACUGAUGGCCACCUGAGCCACUGCUGUUGACAGUUCAGAUGCUGUCAACCAGCACCCCAAGGUCCUUUUCUGACAAGCGGCUUUCCAGCCGCUCUUCCCUAAGCCAUGGGGUUGUUUUGACCUACAUCCAGGACCUGGUGCUGUGCUUUGUUGAGUCUGGUACGGUUGGUAUUAACCCAUCCAUCCACCCUGACCAAACGGGAGCACGUGGACCACUCCCCAGCGUUGCCUCAAAGGGGCUGUGGUGCUGACCACCACCCUGGGGGGUUCAGCCCUUCACCGCAGAGACCUCUCCGUCCAACCUUUGGUGUCUGGGAGUGGUUCUAACUCCAUCCUAGGUUUCUGUCUCCAGCCUGAGCCUUACUCGCUCUGGCUCGUCGUGGUUAUACCUGCGUCUCUUUGGCUGGAGAGCUGCUUGCUUUGAGCCUGCGCGAGCGCUGCUUCAGAGAAGAAGGGGAUUUAUGGCAGCCCUCAGAGCAACAUUCAAAAUGCAUGAAGACACGUCGCGUGAAGGGAUUGGGGAGAAGACGCACGAGAGUGAACCAGGGGCCGCGGCAGAGCUGAACCGUGCAGAUGGGAAGGCAGUUAUUGAGGCGAAGUGUCAGAGCGUGCCAUAAAGAUUUAGUUUAUCCUCAAAGAGCUGUGGCGGUGGAGGAAGGAUGGGCACGGGGAGGGGCAUCAGCUAAGGGGAAG